UCUCAAACUCCUGAGUUUGCCUCAGCCUCCCAAGUGCUAGGAUUACAGGCGUGAGCCACUGCACCUGGCCCUUUUUUUUUUUGAGACAGAAUCUUGCUCUGUCGUCCAGGCUGGAGUACAGUGGCACCAUCUCAGCUCACUGCAACCUCCGUCUUCCAACUCCUGACCUCAAGCAGUCAUCCCACCUUGGCCUCCCAAAGUGCUGGGAUUACAGACAUGAACCACUGAACACUUUGGGAGGCUGAAGCGGGCAGAUCACCUGAGGUCGGGAGUUUGAGACCAGC
rnacentral:lncRNA from 1 species